rnacentral:tRNA from 1 species
AAGAAUUUAGUUAAAAAUAUAACAUUAGUUUGUCAUACUAAAAUUAUUAAAUUCUAUAGUAAUUCUUA